AUGAAUCUCCUAAGUUGGAACUGCCGGGGAGGGGGGAAUACCCGGACAGUUCGAGAGCUGGCGACUCUUUGUCAGUCGCAUUCCCCCACUUUGGUGUUUUUGUGUGAAACAAGGCAGAAGGCGGACAAGUUGAAAAGAAUCCGAGCGAGGUUGGGUUUGAAGGGUUUUUGCGGCGUGGAUAGUAAUGGUAUGAGCGGUGGUCUGGCUCUAUAUUGGCAUGAAUCU
rnacentral:rRNA from 1 species